UAACGCAUGGGUAACCUGCCUCAUACAGGGGGAUAACAGUUAGAAAUGACUGCUAAUACCGCAUAAGCGCACAGUGCUGCAUGGCACAGUGUGAAAAACUCCGGUGGUAUGAGAUGGACCCGCGUCUGAUUAGCUAGUUGGUGGGGUAACGGCCUACCAAGGCGACGAUCAGUAGCCGGCCUGAGAGGGUGAACGGCCACAUUGGGACUGAGACACGGCCCAA
rnacentral:rRNA from 1 species